GAGUUUGAUCCUGGCUCAGAUUGAACGCUGGCGGAAUGCUUUACACAUGCAAGUCGAACGGCAGCACGGGGGCAACCCUGGUGGCGAGUGGCGAACGGGUGAGUAAUACAUCGGAACGUGCCCAGUCGUGGGGGAUAACGUAGCGAAAGCUACGCUAAUACCGCAUACGAUCUGUGGAUGAAAGCGGGGGACCGUAAGGCCUCGCGCGAUUGGAGCGGCCGAUGGCAGAUUAGGUAGUUGGUGGGGUAAAGGCCUACCAAGCCGACGAUCUGUAGCUGGUCUGAGAGGACGACCAGCCACACUGGGACUGAGACACGGCCCAGACUCCUACGGGAGGCAGCAGUGGGGAAUUUUGGACAAUGGGCGCAAGCCUGAUCCGGCCAUUCCGCGUGCAGGAUGAAGGCCCUCGGGUUGUAAACUGCUUUGUACGACGAAAAGGUGCCUCUAAUACAGGGUGCUGAUGACGGUACCGUAAGAAUAAGCACCGGCUAACUACGUGCCAGCCGCCGCGGUAAC
rnacentral:rRNA from 1 species